AUUAUUGAGGACGACAUCUACAAAAGAAACACGCGAUUUAGAGAAGCUGUAUCACCGGAAGAAAAGCUGGCAGUGACAUUAAGGUACUUGAUUAGUGGCUGUUCAUUUAGGACUAUGAGUUCAAGCUUUCGGUUAGGCGAAAGUACCAUCCGGUCGAUAUUAAAAGAUGUGUGCAAUGCGAUUAUAAAUACAAUGAAGGGGAAGUUCAUGCCCACACCUACUACCGAAGACUGGAAAAGAAUCGCAGAUGGUUUCAAUAAAAAAUGGAAUUUUCCAAACUGUAUAGGUGCCAUCGACGGCAAACAUGUAAACAUAAUUGCCCCUCCUAGCAGCGGCUCGCUAUUUUUUAAUUAUAAAAAACACUUCUCUAUCGUCCUCAUGGCUAUCGUCGAUGAUAGAUACAGAUUUAUAGCUGUCGAUAUAGGGGCCUAUGGCAGGAAUAGUGAUGGCGGAAUUUUGGCAUCGUCAAGAUUAGGAAGAGCGAUUGAAAUGAAUACAUUUAAUAUUCCAACUGACACACCAUUACCUGGUACUGAAAUAAUAAUGCCACAUGUUUUUGUAGCCGACGAAGCGUUUCCUUUAAAAAGGAAUUUAUUGCGACCAUAUCCACGUUCAAGUGGCAUUUCAGAAAAGGAAAGAAUAUACAAUAAUCGCUUAUCGCGAGCUCGCAGAGUAGUUGAAAACGCGUUCGGCAUCUUAUAUCAAAAAUUUGGAAUUUAUAAUAAGAAUUUGCAUUUACACCCAAAAUAUGUUGAUAUUGUGGUCUUUGCGACGUGUAUUUUACACAAUGUCAUGCGGUGUUAUAAUAUAACAUCCGAUGAUGAAGUCAACACAAGGCAGAGUUCGGCCAAUAAUGAUGAUGAACAGAGAUUACUAAGUACACUUCCAGAAGAUAUAAGUGAAUCUUCGGCAUCUGCUUUUGAAACUCGUGAUAUGUUUGCAACUUAUUUUCAAUCUCCCAAAGGACGAGUUCCGUGGCAGCAUUUAAUAUAGAUCAUGGAUAAUUAAUAUGUAAUAAUCAUAAGAAGUUGGUUAUAAUAUUAUUGGCUUAUUAAGAAUAUUAAACAAGUUUCUAUACUAA